rnacentral:rRNA from 1 species
GACGAACGCUGGCGGCGUGCUUAACACAUGCAAGUCGAACGGGGUGUUUAUUUCGGUAAACACCAAGUGGCGAACGGGUGAGUAACGCGUAAGCAAUCUACCUUCAAGAUGGGGACAACACUUCGAAAGGGGUGCUAAUACCGAAUGAAUGUAAGAGUAUCGCAUGAGACACUUACUAAAGGAGGCCUCUGACAUAAGCUUCCGCUUGAAGAUGAGCUUGCGUCUGAUUAGCUAGUUGGUGAGGGUAAAGGCCCACCAAGGCGACGAUCAGUAGCCGGUCUGAGAGGAUGAACGGCCGACAUUGGGACUGAGACACGGCCCAGACUCCUACGGGAGGCAGCAGUGGGGAAUCUUCCGGCAAUGGGCGAAAGCCUGACGGAGCAACGCCGCGUGAACGAUGAAGGUCUUA